AACGAACGCUGGCGGCAUGCUUAACACAUGCAAGUCGAACGGUAAUAGAUAGUAUUUAUAUUAUUUGUUAUAGUGGCAAACGGGUGAGUAACGCGUGGGAACGUACCCUUCAGUUCUGAAUAACGUUUGGAAACGAACGCUAAUACAGAAUACAUCAGAGAUGAGAAAGAGAGAUUGCUGAAGGAGCGGCCCGCGUUAGAUUAGGUAGUUGGUGGGGUAAGGGCCUACCAAGCCGAUGAUCUAUAGCUGGUCUGAGAGGACGAUCAGCCACACUGGGACUGAGACACGGCCCAGACUUCUACGGAAGGCAGCAGUGGGGAAUAUUGGACAAUGGGGGAAACCCUGAUCCAGCGAUGCCGCGUGAGUGAAGAAGGCCUUCGGGUUGUAAAGCUCUUUUAUAGGUGAAGAUGAUGACGGUAACCUAUGAAUAAGCUCCGGCUAACUUCGUGCCAGCAGCCGCAGUAA
rnacentral:rRNA from 1 species